AUCGCUUCUCGGCCUUUUGGCUAAGAUCAAGUGUAGAAAGGUGUAUGUUUAAUUUUCACAUAUUUGUGAAUUUCCUGGAUAUUUAACUCUAGAUAGAGAAUAUAAUUUUGUAGGAUUUGGAUCUUUUAAAUUUGUCAAAACAUAUUAUAGCCUGC
rnacentral:snRNA from 1 species